CAGUCGCCACGGGAAUACGUAGGGUGCAAGCGUUAAUCGGAAUUACUGGGCGUAAAUCGUGCGCAGGCGGUUAUAUAAGACAGAUGUGAAAUCCCCGGGCUCAACCUGGGAACUGCAUUUGUGACUGUAUAGCUAGAGUACGGCAGAGGGGGAUGGAAUUCCGCGUGUAGCAGUGAAAUGCGUAGAUAUGCGGAGGAACACCGAUGGCGAAGGCAGUCCCCUGGGCCUGUACUGACGCUCAUGCACGAAAGCGUGGGGAGCAAACAGGAUUAGAUACCCCGGUAGUCCCUGUCUCUUAUAA
rnacentral:rRNA from 1 species